rnacentral:rRNA from 1 species
CAGUCGCGCGGUAAUACGGAGGGUGCAAGCGUUAAUCGGAAUUACUGGGCGUAAAGCGCACGCAGGCGGUUUGUUAAGUCAGAUGUGAAAUCCCCGGGCUCAACCUGGGAACUGCAUCUGAUACUGGCAAGCUUGAGUCUCGUAGAGGGGGGUAGAAUUCCAGGUGUAGCGGUGAAAUGCGUAGAGAUCUGGAGGAAUACCGGUGGCGAAGGCGGCCCCCUGGACGAAGACUGACGCUCAGGUGCGAAAGCGUGGGGAGCAAACAGGAUUAGAGACCCCGGUAGUCCCUGUCUCUUAUACC